rnacentral:lncRNA from 1 species
GUCCAGAUGGCGCAAAUUCGCUCCGGUUUGGAGAGCCCCCCUCGCGCUCCGGGGAGUGCGCCCCCAGGGGGAUGCCGCGGCGCUCUGGGAGGCCAAGGGCCACGCUGCUUUCUCUCCAGCACGUACUCUUCGUUCCCACCCCCUACAUCCACCCCCAACUCCCUGAGGAGUAAUGGAUCUGCAGCCUAAAUGCUGCCAACACAAAUGUGGCUUUGUCUUCUAGACUGCCUAUAAUUAUGACAAAACUCUCAGAUUCCGGGGCCUUGUGACACAGGGAUAGCCCAGCACAAAGCGGAAUGGACAGUAAACACGUCUGCGAGGAUGCCCAUUCAGAGCUGGGAGUGUUGGGCAGGACGUGUGUGGAUGUGUACAGAUACCUCCCCCCGCCCCCAGGCCAUUGGCUUCGCCCAUAAGCACACAGUUACCCAGGCAGCCCACUGCCGUCCUCUACAGGGAGAAACUUCGCUGAAGUUCCUUGGGAGAAAUUGAAACUUCAGCUCUUUGCAAGCGCUGCAGAAUCCUUGAGGCUGUCAUUUGCAAACCACGGGAUGCAGUCAGUGUGUG